rnacentral:lncRNA from 1 species
UUUCUUUAUCAAUGAAUAAAGAGCUCCCUCAUUUGUUUUUCAUGGAAGCAUAGUUUUAUAGUUCUUACCCAUACACUAUUGAUCUUACACAGUUUUAAAAACCUGUCAAUUAUAGCACCAUAGACAAGAUAGCUAAUUUGGCUUUCCUACUUCUGUGCAUUCAUCACUAAUUAGGGCUUCUUGUUUGGUUGCAAUCUCGCCUCCCUUAUUUCACACAACAAGGUCAGCAUUUCUGGUAUAUACACACGACUCUCUGUCAAGCAUGAUAUUCAUAACCAUUCUUUAGUUAUCUGAUUUAUUUUGCACUGCUUAUGAGAUAAUUUUUUUUUGCUCUUUUACUUUUUAGGUCCUUGAAAUUUCCUCCUCCAAGGUAUUCAAGGUGAUAGUAAUCAUCUUCUGAAAUUGGGCAAGGAGAACCACGUCUUACCAGGGGAAACUCAAGAUGUUUCUUCACACAGAGAACACUUCCCAACAUUUAAGUUCAUUGUGUUUUAUUUCCUCUUUGUGACAGUUGUGAGUAAAGGUCUAAGGUGGUUGUGAUGGCUGUUUGCAGGGGUUAAUUGUGCACUGAUGAAGGCUCAGUUUGAAAACGCUGAAUUCGUAUUAAAAAUUGGAAACAGAGGUGUUUAAAAGGAUAGCAGGUGUGUCUUGGAGGGAGGGUUUAAGACUUUGCAGAGCUUACCUACAUACUCAUGUUUUCUGCCAACAUAGUUGCUGAUGGUGAAGUUGACUUGGGCUUAGUAGGGUUAUCUUCUAAUUAAAAUGCCAAUUACUAAUAUUUAUAUUUACCUGCAAUGACAUUUAGCUUUACAGUCUUUGGGUGUAAUCUCACUUUGUUUGUUAAUUGGUUUGAACUAUUCACUCAUUUUAAAAUCCUGAGAAAAAUCCUAGAGACAAGUGAACAUAAUUAAACUGGAGCUUCAGUCACUUCUUAACUGUGUUUUUUCCCAACAGACAAAGAAUUUGUAUGAACAGAAACAAGGUUACUACUCAGAGAGGUAAUUAAAGUUCCAAUUUAUACUUUAAUAAGGGUGAAUCCCAUUCCACUUAAGAUGAUCAUUGUGAAAUUUGAUCAUUAUGAAAUAUAAAAUGGGAAAAACCACUUGCUUGGAGAUCUAUGCAAGAAUAUUCUAAUUCAAGCAACAUUUAAGAAUUUACAGGGUUGCCUUUUGGUGUAGAGGCAUGAACUUUGAGCUAGAUCUGGGAUUCUGUCCCAAAUUUAACAUUUGCAAUCUGUGAGAUCUUAGUCAAGGUAUUUGAGUCUCUAAGCCUUUGCUUCCUGGUCUUCCGAGUCACCAUCUUUACUAGCUUCUGAAUAGUAUGUUUAAAGAAGUAAAUGAGAAUAUAUAUAUUGAGUAGCUCAUACUUGACUUAAUAUGUUAGGCAGUUAAUAAAUGUUAGUUUAUUUUUCCUUCUAGUGUUUAGAUGAUUCAGGGACAGGAAUUAGAAACCACAAACAAUAACACCACCACCACCUCACCUGUGACAUCCUGGUCCCUUCAGGUCACUUAUAAACCAA